rnacentral:lncRNA from 1 species
UAUUUACGAUGUCCUCAUCCCCCACUGCAUUUAGAUCAAGUGGAAACACGCGCUUGCCAUCACUGCUUGAGCUUCCAGGCAUCAGUUUAUCGCUAUUGCCAUCAUUCGUACAGGCAUUCUCGCGUGGACCAGAGCUUAUAGGCACAACAUUAUUAUCCAGCUUAGUUUUCUUAUGCUCGGGUACUUCAGCAGCUACUUCGGCCGUCUCAAAACUUCUUUUACCUGCACCACCUGAUGCAUGUGAACGAUCCAGUGCACCUGCGCU